rnacentral:lncRNA from 1 species
AUGGAGUUUCUUGGACUCUCCAUCAGAAGAGAAGUGAGGGAAAAAGUAAAAAAUCAUCAGUAUGCUUGUGCAUAUGUACUGGAUUAUUUCUCCAGAAAGGAAAGGAAUCAGUCUGUGAGUAUCUUUUGCAGGCUACAGACCCAUAUUAUCAACUGCAAUGAAACAAUGCUGGAAAGGAAUUGAAUAUUUUGGUGGAGAGUACUUGUAUGAGCUUCAAAAUCAUGUGUGUUCCAGCUGAAAGAUCAACAUAAUUUUGGUUUUAAAAUGCUGACUCUGCUCUGGACGGCUGCUGCUAUUAUGACUUCAUUAGUGUGGCACAGAUUCUUGUCUCCCUCACCCUGGCUUUACUCUGAAGUAGCUCUGUCAGCUCACUGGAGAUAUAUCUGACUUAAUUCAAGACGAGAAUCAGGACACAAAUGUCAUCUGCCUAACUCUUUCAGACAGGCAGGAACUUCUGGUUUGGAUCUCUUUGGGUUAAGAGGAAAAAAAAAAAGAAAAAAAAAAAAUUUAAAACCUCAAAAAGAAACAUAACCUUUCCUUCCCCUCUAUUUAGUGUGCUGGAGCUGCCCCACAAUGAGACAGUGCAUUUUCUAUUUUUCCUUCUGGGAAGCAGCUGGCUCCCCAGCAGUGACGUGUGGACCCAGCUCAGUUUGCUGCUGGAGCAGGAAGCAGUGGGUUUGCAGGGCUGACGCACUUUGGCUGCCUCUGCCACCCUCCAGCCUCUGAUGGCACAGGCCAAGCUCAUGCAGACAGAUAUGACCUAGAAGGAUGUUUAUGCAAUAAAGCAAUGAAGUAUUUGUUUCA